UCACAUAAAAAUAUUUUAUGCAUGGAGAAAGGUGAUGGUGUGAAGAGAAGAGUCCAACUCAAUUUGGACUCUAGGUUUUUAUUCAAAUUCAAACCCAUUUGAUCUCAAAUUUAAACCAACUAAUUUUUAAUUUAAAAAAAAAAUCAGAUAUGGAUAUGGAAAAGCUUCGAGACAUGAAAAAAAUUCAUAUAAAAAAUUUUUCUCACAUGAAUAAUAAGAGGGCGCAG
rnacentral:lncRNA from 1 species